rnacentral:rRNA from 1 species
UACGGAGGGGGCUAGCGUUGUUCGGAAUUACUGGGCGUAAAGCGCACGUAGGCGGCUUUGCAAGUCAGAGGUGAAAGCCCGGGGCUCAACCCCGGAAUUGCCUUUGAGACUGCAUCGCUAGAAUUGUGGAGAGGUAAGUGGAAUUCCAGGUGUAGCGGUGAAAUGCGUAGAUAUCUGGAGGAACACCGGUGGCGAAGGCGGCAUCCUGGACCGGUAUUGACGCUGAGGCGCGAAAGCUAGGGGAGCAAACGGG